rnacentral:lncRNA from 1 species
CUCAAAAAAGUUAACAAAAUGCUAACAAUAUUUAAGACAUUGCUGAUACUACUUUACCAAUAAUUUUAAAGUCGCCUUAUUAAAGAUUAUACAUAAGUCACAAACUUUUUUUUUUUUUUUUUUUUUGAGAUGGAGUCUCACAGUCUCGCCCAGGCUGGAGUGCAGUGGCACCAUCUCGGCUCACUGCAAGCUCCGCCUCCUGGGUUCACGCCAUUCUCCUGCUUCAGCCUCCUGAGUAGCUGGGACUACAGGCGCCCACCACCUCGCCCAGCUAAUUUUUUGUAUUUUUAGUAGAGACGGGGUUUCGUCGUGUUAGUCAGGAUGGUCUUGAUCUUCUGACCUCGUGAUCCACCUGCCUUGCCUCCCAAAGUGCUGGGAUUACAGGCCUGAACCACCGUGCCCAGCCUCUAAUUUUUUAUUUCUGAUUUAAAGUUGGAUGUCUUGGCCGGGCACGGUGGCUCACUUUGGGAGGCCGAGGUGGGCAGAUCACGAGGUCCGGAGAUGAAGACCAUCCUGGUUAACAUGGUGAAACACUGUCUCUACUAAAAAUACAAAAAAAAUCAGCUGGGCGUGGUGGCACGCACCCAUAAUCCCAGCUACUGGGGAGGCAGAAGUAGGAGAAUAGCUUGAACCCGGGAGGUGGAGGUUGCAGUGAGCCAAGGUCGCAUUGCGCUGCUGCACUCCAGCCUGGGUAACAGAGUGAGACUCUGUCUCAAAAUAAAUAAAUAAAAAGAAAGUUGGAUGUCUUGUAAGAUAAUGCUGAGUAAUGCAGAAAUACACGUAGACAUUUAUGCAUGUGAUUUGUACUUACACAGACCCCCCCACACCACAAAAUAAAACAGAUAACCACAGCCUGACCAUUAGGGCCAAGGUCAAAUAGCAAAAUAAGUUUGCCUUUAAUCUGUUUUCUUCAUAUAUAAACAUUGGAGGUCAAGACUGUGGACAAGGCUGGGCUCAUGCCUGUAAUCCCAGCACUUUGGGAGGCUGAGGCGGGUGGAUCAUGAGGUCGGUAGUUCAAGACCAGCCUGGCCAAGAUGGAGAAAUUCUGUCUCUACUAAAAAUACAAAAAUUAGCUCGGCGUGGUGGUGGGCGCCUGUAAUGUCAGCUACUCAGGAGACUGAGGCAGGGAAUUGCUUGAACCCAAGAGGUGGAGGUUGCAGUGAGCCG